AAACGUUCUCAGGGCGGGGUGCAAUUCCCCACCGGCGGUAAUUGCGCGCAAUGCGCAUAGCCCGCGAGCGCUUGACGCCAUCUGCAGCCUGCCUGCCGGUGAUGCCAAGGUCAGCAGACCCGGUGUGAUCCCGGGGCCGACGGUCAUAGUCCGGAUGAAGAGAGAACGGGA
rnacentral:ncRNA from 2 species